rnacentral:rRNA from 1 species
GUCUACGGCCAUACCACCCUGAACUCGCCCAAUCUCGUAAGAAUAAGGUGCCCAGUGUGGGGCAGACACUUGUAAUACCAACGUUCAGAAGCAUGAAGCAGUAGGUU